rnacentral:rRNA from 1 species
GACGAACGCUGGCGGCGCGCUUAACACAUGCAAGUCGAGCGAGAACCAGACCUUCGGGUCUGGGGACAGCGGCGAACGGGUGAGUAACACGUGGGUAAUCAACCCUCGGUACUGGGAUAGCCCGGGGAAACCCGGAUUAAUACCGGAUGGCCCUUCGGAUCUUCGGUUCCGAAGGAAAAGGUAGCUUCGGCCUCCGACCGAGGACGAGCCCGCGGCGGAUUAGCUUGUUGGUGGGGUAACGGCCUACCAAGGCGGCGAUCCGUAGCUGGGCUGGGAGGGCGAUCAGCCAAACUGGGACUGGGACACGGCCCAGACUACGACGGAAGUCAGCAGUGGGGAAUCUUGCGCUAAUGCGGGAAACCGUGACGCAGCGACGCCGCGUGAGGGAAGAAGGCCUUCGGGUUGUAAACCUCUUUCAGAAGGGACGAAGCUACUCGGGUUAAUAGCCCAGAGGGUGACGGUACCUUCAGAAGAAGCCCCGGCUAACUACGUGCCAGCAGCCGCCGUAA